CUACAGGGAUGAUUUUAAAACCUGAACUCUCUCUUUCUGAUGGUGUAGUGGAGAAAAAGAGAAAAAUUAUCUGAGUAGC
rnacentral:snoRNA from 1 species